rnacentral:rRNA from 1 species
CGGACGACGCUGGCGGCGUGGAUUAGGCAUGCAAGUCGAACGGUAUCAUCCUUUCGGGGGUGAGAGAGUGGCGAACUGGUGAGUAACACGUAGGUUAUCUACCCUCAAGACGGGGACAACCCAGGGAAACUUGGGCUAAUACCGGAUGUGAGCAACUUUUAGUUGUUUGAAAGGUGGCGUAAGCUGUCGCUUGGGGAUGAGCCUGCGUCCUAUUAGUUAGUUGGUGAGGUAACGGCUCACCUAGGCAAUGAUAGGUAGGCGGCCUUAACGGGUGGUCGCCCACACUGGGAUUGAGAUACGGCCCAGACUCCUACGGGAGGCAGCAGUCGAGAAUAGUCUACAAUGGUCGGAAGACUGAUAGUGCGACGCCGCGUGAACGAUGAAUCCCUUCGGGGUGUAAAGUUCUUUUAUAUGUGAGCAGUGCUUCUUAUAUUAACAGUAUGGGGAGAGAGAUAUUAGCAUAUGAAUAAGCAACGGCUAACUCCGUG